rnacentral:rRNA from 1 species
GUGAACGUCCAUACUUGGCUGAAAACACCAUAUCCCGUCCGAUUUGUGAAGUUAAGCAGCUACAGGCUUAGUUAGUACUGAGGUCAGUGAUGACUUGGGAACCCUAAGUGUCGUUCGCCCAA